rnacentral:rRNA from 1 species
UACGGGGGGGGCAAGCGUUGUUCGGAAUUACUGGGCGUAAAGGGCUCGUAGGCGGCCAACUAAGUCGGACGUGAAAUCCCUCGGCUUAACCGGGGAACUGCGUCCGAUACUGGAUGGCUUGAGUUCGGGAGAGGGAUGCGGAAUUCCAGGUGUAGCGGUGAAAUGCGUAGAUAUCUGGAGGAACACCGGUGGCGAAGGCGGUUCUCUGGGCCUGUACUGACGCUGAGGAGCGAAAGCGUGGGGAGCGAACAGG